rnacentral:rRNA from 1 species
AAUUGUGAUUCGAUUUAGCCUGCUAGUCGCACGAGUUCAGACUCGUGGCGAAUAGCUCAGUAACACGUGGCCAAACUACCCUUCGGAGCACAAUACCCUCGGGAAACUGAGGCUAAUAGUGCAUACCACAAUCCACCUGGAAUGAGGAUUGUGCCAAACGCUCCGGCGCCGAAGGAUGUGGCUGCGGCCGAUUAGGUAGACGGUGGGGUAACGGCCCACCGUGCCAAUAAUCGGUACGGGUCAUGAGAGUGAGAACCCGGAGACGGAAUCUGAGACAAGAUUCCGGGCCCUACGGGGCGCAGCAGGCGCGAAACCUUUACACUGCACGCCAGUGCGAUAAGGGAAUCCCAAGUGCGCAGGCAUAGAGCCUGCGCUUUUGUUCACCGUAGGGAGGUGAACGAAUAAGGGCUGGGCAAGACCGGUGCCAGCCGCCGCGGUAAUACCGGCAGCCCGAGUGAUGGCCGAUCUUAUUGGGCCUAAAGCGUCCGUAGCUGGCCGCGCAAGUCUAUCGGAAAAUCCACCCGCUCAACGGGUGGGCGUCCGGUAGAAACUGCGUGGCUUGGGACCAGAAGGCGCGACGGGUACGUCCGGGGUAGGAGUGAAAUCCCGUAAUCCUGGACGGACCGCCGAUGGCGAAAGCACGUCACGAGGACGGAUCCGACAAUGANGGGACGAAAGCCAGGGUCUCGAACCGGAUUAAAUACCCGGUAGUCCUGGCCGUAAACAAUGUCUUGUUAA